AUACGGAGGGUGCAAGCGUUAAUCGGAAUUACUGGGCGUAAAGCGUACGUAGGCGGUUCGUUAAGUUAGAUGUGAAAGCCCCGGGCUUAACCUGGGAACUGCAUUUAAAACUGGCGAACUAGAGUUGAGUAGAGGGGAGUGGAAUUUCAGGUGUGGCGGUGAAAUGCGUAGAGAUCUGAAGGAACACCAGUGGCGAAGGCGACUCCCUGGACUCGAACUGACGCUGAGGUACGAAAGCGUGGGUAGCAAACGGGAUUAGAAACCCUAGUAGUCC
rnacentral:rRNA from 1 species